GAAAUCUUCAAGGCUUUUCCAGACAAUGUAAGGCAUAACGGGGAAAUAACUGGCAGCAUUUUCAGACAAUAACCAGACAGUUGGAUAUUGCAGAAGAACGGACGUUAAAGCUGAUUCAUAUAUAUGAUUUUCAGGUCUUACAAUAACUUAUAAUGGAGGACCAAGAGGCAGAAUGCUCCGCUGCAUAUUUAGAAACGUUGUUCCAAGCCAUGAAAUCAUGGUCAUUUGACAUAUUUGAGAUCCACGAUGAAGACUUG